AACUAUUUUGCCCAUCCCUGCACUCCUCUCCUCUAUGGCAACCAUCAUUUGUUUUCCAUAUUUAUGUGUCUGUUUCUGUUUUUUUGUUUGUCUCUUUGUUCUGCUUUUCAGAUCGUACAUGUAAGUGAAAUCAUAUAGUAUUUGUCUUUCUCUGCUUGGCUUAUUUCGCUGGGCACAAACGCUUACUAUCUGAGCAAAAAGCAGUGAGUUUCACCAAAGCCUGGGAAGAAAAGACAUUCAGGGCAGCUUGGAGUAGAGUGAGCACAACCCACUGGAGGGAAGACACUCCAAGAGGAACUCCCUGCUUGGAUCUCUUCUUCACUUCUGAGAAGCUCUUCCCAUCCUGUGGCCCCCAUCUGCGUGAGCAGUGGAACAGUCCCUUCCAAUGACUUGUCCAAAAUGGAAGACAGAGAACAAGUGGCUAAUUCUCAAGAUGGCUCCAGCACCCUCUUCUAGGGGGUGUGAACUGCCUCCCAGUGGGGGCUGAAGUUGGCAUCCAGUGAACAUGACUACUUACUCAUUUUUGAAACUGUCCUGAGGCUGUAAGUCGUUGAGGUCAGGGACUGUGUAUUACUUUAAAAUCCUAGCCCUUGCAUCAUU